GCUGCUGGCCUGCCCUGCAAGGUGUGGCACGCCCUGCGGCUUGGACUCAAUGCCCCGCCUCUGUCCCCAGGCGGAGAGUGACCUUGGGCGCCUUCCGACCCUGCCUGGGCCUGGCAGUCACUGGUGACACAGGUGGGAAGGUGCCCGCAGGCGAAGCGGGUAAAGGAUGCGCAGCCGGAGGAGAGCCGCCCGGAGGCCACCUUGGCUGCUCCUUAGACCACACUGAGCAGGAGGGUAACUCAGGCAGCCGGGAGGCGGUGGGAGAGAACACCCUGCAGAUCGCCGAGAAAAGAGAGGCCCAUCCUUGGGACAGAGGCCCCAGGAGGCCUGUCAGGGGGCCCGUGUGGGGGGUGGACACCACAAAGCCACUCCUUUCCAGAAUGUGCAGCUUUCCCGGGGGGUGGAGGGGACCCCUUGCUUCACUCUGGCUGUCCCAUCUGACUCAGGCCCCAACACCUGCUUCCUGCCUGUUCUUACCUCCACUUUCCUUACGAGCUUCUGACCCUUUACAGGAGCAGGAGGCCUGGCAGAAACUGCUAGGAGGGCUCCCAGAGUAUUUCAUUGAAUUGGACAGAAAGGCCCUGGCUAGCUGCAUACCUGGGACAACAUGAGCUCGGAGUGAAUUCUAGAACGGACAUUAUAGGGGUUCUUUAGAACCUGCUGACCAUUCCAGAGGACCGGGCGGGUCCUCUCCCCAGGGAGCCCUCCCCUAAACCCUGGGUACUUGUGCCUCCCCCAACACUGGGCAUAUGUCGUCAGCCAGCAGGCCAUCCAAUGAAACAGGCCUGGGAGUAGGGAGGGGGCUGUCACCUCUCCCUUCUAAGCUUGUGUGGGAAGCAGCUGGGGCUGGGUGACCCUGGAGGGGGACAGUGAGGGAGAAGCUGAGCACAGACUCUUUCUCCUCCUGUGAAAAGCAAGGAGGCGGCCGCUGCGAGAACACAGUGACAGGAGUCGGAGAGAGGAAGAAAUACGAUGAGACGACAACGGAACACAGAGCACGCCCAACAUCACAGUCAGAGGGGCCGCAGCAAACCACGACGACCACGCCGCUCAGACCACUGCCCUGCGGGACGAGGGGCCGGGCUGCCGCCCCCCAGGGGACAUCAGGAUGGGACAGACCGGGCCCAGGUGACCGCUCAAGGGCAGCAGCUCUGAACCAGGGGUGGCCGGGGCCCCCUCCAUCCAUCAGGGACUCUUCCAGAACCACCAGUGGGAAGGAGGUGGUGCUCACUGUGGUUCUCCAGGGAGGGUUCUCCUUAAUGUCUUAAGAGCCUCAGGGUGGACAGAGCAGCUGGGCCUUCAGCACUAAUCACAUCCAAAGAAAGCCAGAUCGCCAGACGGCCGCUCCCCGUGAUAUAUACGUCUGCUCCCCCAACCCCAGGCAUGCGCACUGGACUGGUGUCUUCUAGUCAGCAAAGCACUAAACCCACAGGCUCACCUUCCAUCUGGUCAAGGGAACCCUCACUCCCGAGGACGGACGUGGGGAUGAAUAAAAGCACAACCUGGUGUAGUUGGGACCCAG